rnacentral:misc_RNA from 1 species
AACAUCGCGCACCUGCGGGAACCUGCGGAGGGAUCAUUACCGAGUUUCCAAAAACUCCCAACCCAUGUGAACCUUACCUCUCGUUGCCUCGGCGGGAUUCGCCCCGGCGCCCAUCCUGGGCCCGGACUCCGGCGCCCGCCGCAGGACCCCCCAACUCGUGUCUCCGUGGAGCAUCGUCUGAGUGAGAAGAUUUAAUAAAUCAAAACUUUUAGCAACGGAUCUCAGAUCGGAAGAGCACAC